rnacentral:rRNA from 1 species
CGGCCGCGUCGACGGCGAGUGAAGCGGCAACAGCUCAAAUUUGAAAUCUGGCGUCUUUGGCGUCCGAGUUGUAAUUUGCAGAGGGCGCUUUGGCAUUGGCAGCGGUCCAAGUUCCUUGGAACAGGACGUCACAGAGGGUGAGAAUCCCGUACGUGGUCGCUAGCCUUUACCGUGUAAAGCCCCUUCGACGAGUCGAGUUGUUUGGGAAUGCAGCUCUAAAUGGGAGGUAAAUUUCUUCUAAAGCUAAAUACUGGCCAGAGACCGAUAGCGCACAAGUAGAGUGAUCGAAAGAUGAAAAGCACUUUGGAAAGAGAGUUAAAAAGCACGUGAAAUUGUUGAAAGGGAAGCGCUUGCAGCCAGACUUGCCUGUAGUUGCUCAUCUAGGUUUCUACCUAGUGCACUCUUCUAUAGGCAGGCCAGCAUCAGUUUGGGCGGUUGGAUAAAGGUCUCUGUCAUGUACCUCU